GAUGAACGCUGGCGGCGUGCCUAAUACAUGCAAGUCGAGCGAACAGACGAGGAGCUUGCUCCUCUGACGUUAGCGGCGGACGGGUGAGUAACACGUGGAUAACCUACCUAUAAGACUGGGAUAACUUCGGGAAACCGGAGCUAAUACCGUAUAAUAUAUUGAACCGCAUGGUUCAAUAGUGAAAGACGGUUUUGCGGUCUCUUAUAGAUGGAUCCGCGCCGCAUUAGCUAGUUGUUAAGGUAACGGCUUACCAAGGCAACGAUGCGUAGCCGACCUGUGAGGGUGAUAGGCCACACGGGAACUGAGACACGGUCCAGACUCCUACGGGAGGCAGCAGUAGGGAAUCUUCCGCAAUGGGCGAAAGCAUGACGGAGCAACGCCGCGUGAGUGAUGAAGGUCUUCGGAUCGUAAAAAUCUGUUAUUAGGGAAGAACAAAUGUGUAAGUAACUAUGCACGUCUUGACGGUACCUAAUCAGAAAGCCACGGCUAACUACGUG
rnacentral:rRNA from 1 species